CUACGGGUCGCUGCAGUGGGGAAUAUUGCACAAUUGAGGAAACUCUGAUGCAGCAACGCCGCGUGGAGGAUGACACUUUUCGGAGCGUAAACUCCUUUUAUAUAGGAAGAAGAUGACGGUACUAUAUGAAUAAGCGCCGGCUGACUCCGUGCCAGCAGCCGCGGUAAUACGGAGGGCGCAAGCGUUACUCGGAAUCACUGGGCGUAAAGAGCGUGUAGGCGGAUUAAAAAGUCAGAAGUGAAAUCCUAUAGCUUAACUAUAGAACUGCUUCUGAAACUCUUAAUCUAGAAUAUGGGAGAGGUAGGUGGAAUUUCUGGUGUAGGGGUAAAAUCCGUAGAGAUCAGAAGGAAUACCGAUUGCGAAGGCGAUCUACUAGAACAUUAUUGACGCUGAGACGCGAAAGCGUGGGGAGCAAACAGGAUUAGAUACCCGCGUAGUC
rnacentral:rRNA from 1 species